rnacentral:rRNA from 1 species
AACGAACGCUGGCGGCAUGCCUAACACAUGCAAGUCGAACGAGACCCUCGGGUCUAGUGGCGCACAGGUGCGUAACGCGUGGGAAUCUGCCCUUGGGUCCGGGAUAACAGUUGGAAACGACUGCUAAUACCGGAUGAUGACUUCGGUCCAAAGAUUUAUCGCCCAGGGAUGAGCCCGCGUCGGAUUAGCUAGUUGGUGGGGUAAAGGCCUACCAAGGCAACGAUCCGUAGCUGGUCUGAGAGGAUGAUCAGCCACACUGGGACUGAGACACGGCCCAGACUCCUACGGGAGGCAGCAGUGGGGAAUAUUGGACAAUGGGCAAAGCCUGAUCCAGCAAUGCCGCGUGAGUGAUGAAGGGCCUCAGGGUUGUAAAGCUCUUUUACCCGGGAUGAUAAUGACAGUACCGGGAGAAUAAGCCCCGGCUAACUCCGUGCCAGCCGCCGCGGUAA